rnacentral:rRNA from 1 species
UUAAAUUGAAGAGUUUGAUCAUGGCUCAGAUUGAACGCUGGCGGCAGGCCUAACACAUGCAAGUCGAACGGUAACAGGAAGAAGCUUGCUGCUUCGCUGACGAGUGGCGGACGGGUGAGUAAUGUCUGGGAAACUGCCUGAUGGAGGGGGAUAACUACUGGAAACGGUAGCUAAUACCGCAUAACGUCGCAAGACCAAAGAGGGGGACCUUCGGGCCUCUUGCCAUCGGAUGUGCCCAGAUGGGAUUAGCUAGUAGGUGGGGUAACGGCUCACCUAGGCGACGAUCCCUAGCUGGUCUGAGAGGAUGACCAGCCACACUGGAACUGAGACACGGUCCAGACUCCUACGGGAGGCAGCAGUGGGGAAUAUUGCACAAUGGGCGCAAGCCUGAUGCAGCCAUGCCGCGUGUAUGAAGAAGGCCUUCGGGUUGUAAAGUACUUUCAGCGGGGAGGAAGGGAGUAAAGUUAAUACCUUUGCUCAUUGACGUUACCCGCAGAAGAAGCACCGGCUAACUCCGUGCCAGCAGCCGCGGUAAUACGGAGGGUGCAAGCGUUAAUCGGAAUUACUGGGCGUAAAGCGCACGCAGGCGGUUUGUUAAGUCAGAUGUGAAAUCCCCGGGCUCAACCUGGGAACUGCAUCUGAUACUGGCAAGCUUGAGUCUCGUAGAGGGGGGUAGAAUUCCAGGUGUAGCGGUGAAAUGCGUAGAGAUCUGGAGGAAUACCGGUGGCGAAGGCGGCCCCCUGGACGAAGACUGACGCUCAGGUGCGAAAGCGUGGGGAGCAAACAGGAUUAGAUACCCUGGUAGUCCACGCCGUAAACGAUGUCGACUUGGAGGUUGUGCCCUUGAGGCGUGGCUUCCGGAGCUAACGCGUUAAGUCGACCGCCUGGGGAGUACGGCCGCAAGGUUAAAACUCAAAUGAAUUGACGGGGGCCCGCACAAGCGGUGGAGCAUGUGGUUUAAUUCGAUGCAACGCGAAGAACCUUACCUGGUCUUGACAUCCACGGAAGUUUUCAGAGAUGAGAAUGUGCCUUCGGGAACCGUGAGACAGGUGCUGCAUGGCUGUCGUCAGCUCGUGUUGUGAAAUGUUGGGUUAAGUCCCGCAACGAGCGCAACCCUUAUCCUUUGUUGCCAGCGGUCCGGCCGGGAACUCAAAGGAGACUGCCAGUGAUAAACUGGAGGAAGGUGGGGAUGACGUCAAGUCAUCAUGGCCCUUACGACCAGGGCUACACACGUGCUACAAUGGCGCAUACAAAGAGAAGCGACCUCGCGAGAGCAAGCGGACCUCAUAAAGUGCGUCGUAGUCCGGAUUGGAGUCUGCAACUCGACUCCAUGAAGUCGGAAUCGCUAGUAAUCGUGGAUCAGAAUGCCACGGUGAAUACGUUCCCGGGCCUUGUACACACCGCCCGUCACACCAUGGGAGUGGGUUGCAAAAGAAGUAGGUAGCUUAACCUUCGGGAGGGCGCUUACCACUUUGUGAUUCAUGACUGGGGUGAAGUCGUAACAAGGUAACCGUAGGGGAACCUGCGGUUGGAUCACCUCCUUACCUUAAAGAAGC